rnacentral:RNase_P_RNA from 1 species
ACUGCAAACCAGGUUAUCGCUCUCAUUAAGUUGGGUGAGGAAAGUCCGGACAGCAAAGAGCAACACACCGGUUAAUGGCCGGUCCCGAUCUUGAUCGGGAAGAAAGUGCCACAGAAAAUUACCGUCCUGAUGAAUAAUCGGAAUAAGGGUGAAAACGUGAGGUAAGAGCUCACGGGAAUUGUUGGUAACAAUAGUUUUGGGUAAACCUUGUGUGCUGCAAUGCCACGUAUAUCCCGAUUUGCCUUAACGCAAAGUAAGCUGCUCGUUUAUAUUUCUGCUCUUGCAGAAUAUCGGGAAGGGUAGGCAGCAAGAUUGUUGCAGUAAUGCAACAGCCAGAUAAAUGAUAGCCAUUCCGUCCUGAGCUUGUCGAAGGAUCGGGAACAGAAUCCGGCUUACAGGUUUGCAGUAAAU